CUGGGAGUACGGCCGCAAGGUUAAAACUCAAAUGAAUUGACGGGGGCCCGCACAAGCGGUGGAGCAUGUGGUUUAAUUCGAUGCAACGCGAAGAACCUUACCUGGUCUUGACAUCCAUAGAAUUCUGCAGAGAUGUGGGAGUGCCUUCGGGAACUAUGAGACAGGUGCUGCAUGGCUGUCGUCAGCUCGUGUUGUGAAAUGUUGGGUUAAGUCCCGCAACGAGCGCAACCCUUAUUCUUUGUUGCCAGCGAUUUGGUCGGGAACUCAAAGGAGACUGCCGUUGAUAAAGCGGAGGAAGGUGGGGACGACGUCAAGUCAUCAUGGCCCUUACGACCAGGGCUACACACGUGCUACAAUGGCGUAUACAAAGGGAAGCGAAGGUGCGAGCUGGAGCGGAUCUCAUAAAGUACGUCUAAGUUCGGAUUGGAGUCUGCAACUCGACUCCAUGAAGUCGGAAUCGCUAGUAAUCGUAGAUCAGAAUGCUACGGUGAAUACGUUCCCGGGCCUUGUACACACCGCCCGUCACACCAUGGGAGUGGGUUGCACCAGAAGUAGAUAGCUUAACCGCGAGGGGGGCGUUUACCACGGUGUGAUUCAUGACUGGGGUGAAGUCGUAACAAGGUAACCA
rnacentral:rRNA from 1 species